GCCGAUGGCGGUAGCGUAGUGGUAAGCGCUCCCGAGGCAACUACCAAAAAUUGCGGGAUUGGUCACCUUUCUUCUUGGAGGUGGUCGGUUCGAUUCCCGUCGCCGGCA
rnacentral:tRNA from 1 species